rnacentral:rRNA from 1 species
GAUCAUGGCUCAGAAUGAACGCUGGCGGCAUGGAUUAGGCAUGCAAGUCGAACGUACUCCCUUCGGGGAGAAAGUGGCGAAAGGGUGAGUAACACGUGAGCAACCUGCCUCCGGAUCCGGAAUAAUCCAGGGAAACUUGGUCUAAAACCGGAUGAAGACAUUGGGCCGCAUGGUCUGGUGUUAAAAUAUUUAUAGUCCGGAGAGGGGCUCGCGGCCCAUUAGCUUGUUGGCGGGGUAAUGGCCCACCAAGGCUACGACGGGUAGGUGGUCUGAGAGGAUGGUCACCCACACUGGGACUGAGACACUGCCCAGACUCCUACGGGAGGCUGCAGUCGAGAAUCUUCCGCAAUGGGCGCAAAGCCUGACGGAGCGAUGCCGCGUGAGGGAUGAAGGCCUUCGGGUUGUAAACCUCUGUCAUCCGGGACGAAAACAAUGACGGUACCGGAAAAGGAAGCCACGGCUAACCACGUGCCAGCCGCGGC